rnacentral:rRNA from 1 species
AUCGAACGCUGGCGGCAGGCCUAACACAUGCAAGUCGAGCGGAUGAAGUGAGCUUGCUCCUGGAUUCAGCGGCGGACGGGUGAGUAAUGCCUAGGAAUCUGCCUGGUAGUGGGGGAUAACGUCCGGAAACGGGCGCUAAUACCGCACACGUCCUGAGGGAGAAAGUGGGGGAUCUUCGGACCUCACGCUAUCAGAUGAGCCUAGGUCGGAUUAGCUAGUUGGUGGGGUAAAGGCCUACCAAGGCGACGAUCCGUAACUGGUCUGAGAGGAUGAUCAGUCACACUGGAACUGAGACACGGUCCAGACUCCUACGGGAGGCAGCAGUGGGGAAUAUUGGACAAUGGGCGAAAGCCUGAUCCAGCCAUGCCGCGUGUGUGAAGAAGGUCUUCGGAUUGUAAAGCACUUUAAGUUGGGAGGAAGGGCAGUAAGUUAAUACCUUGCUGUUUUGACGUUACCAACAGAAUAAGCACCGGCUAACUUCGUG